UCGAGCGCCCCGCAAGGGGAGCGGCAGACGGGUGAGUAACGCGUGGGAAUCUACCGUGCCCUACGGAAUAGCUCCGGGAAACUGGAAUUAAUACCGUAUACGCCCUACGGGGGAAAGAUUUAUCGGGGUAUGAUGAGCCCGCGUUGGAUUAGCUAGUUGGUGGGGUAAAGGCCUACCAAGGCGACGAUCCAUAGCUGGUCUGAGAGGAUGAUCAGCCACAUUGGGACUGAGACACGGCCCAAACUCCUACGGGAGGCAGCAGUGGGGAAUAUUGGACAAUGGGCGCAAGCCUGAUCCAGCCAUGCCGCGUGAGUGAUGAAGGUCUUAGGAUUGUAAAGCUCUUUCACCGGUGAAGAUAAUGACGGUAACCGGAGAAGAAGCCCCGGCUAACUUCGUGCCAGCAGCCGCGGUAAUACGAAGGGGGCUAGCGUUGUUCGGAAUUACUGGGCGUAAAGCGCAUGUAGGCGGAUAUUUAAGUCAGGGGUGAAAUCCCAGAGCUCAACUCUGGAACUGCCUUUGAUACUGGGUAUCUUGAGUAUGGAAGAGGUAAGUGGAAUUCCGAGUGUAGAGGUGAAAUUCGUAGAUAUUCGGAGGAACACCAGUGGC
rnacentral:rRNA from 1 species